rnacentral:rRNA from 1 species
AAACGGUCGACUUUAAUAAAGUCGUCUAAUGACGGUACCUGCAGAAGAAAGCACCGGCUAACUACGUGCCAGCAGCCGCGGUAAUACGUAGGGUGCGAGCGUUAAUCGGAAUUACUGGGCGUAAAGCGUGCGCAGGUGGCGACAUAAGACAGAUGUGAAAUCCCCGGGCUCAACCUGGGAACUGCGUUUGUGACUGUGUGGCUAGAGUGUAGCAGAGGGGGGUGGAAUUCCACGUGUAGCAGUGAAAUGCGUAGAGAUGUGGAGGAACACCGAUGGCGAAGGCAGCCCCCUGGGUUAACACUGACGCUCAUGCACGAAAGCGUGGNGAGCAAUCUUUUAUUAGAUACCCUGGUAGUCCACGCCCUAAACGAUG